rnacentral:rRNA from 1 species
GAGCUUGCUCUYUCCGGAUGAGUUGCGAACGGGUGAGUAACGCGUAGGUAACCUGCCUGGUAGCGGGGGAUAACUAUUGGAAACGAUAGCUAAUACCGCAUAACAGUAGAUAUCGCAUGAUAUCUGCUUGAAAGGUGCAAUUGCAUCACUACCAGAUGGACCUGCGUUGUAUUAGCUAGUUGGUGAGGUAACGGCUCACCAAGGCGACGAUACAUAGCCGACCUGAGAGGGUGAUCGGCCACACUGGGACUGAGACACGGCCCAGACUCCUACGGGAGGCAGCAGUAGGGAAUCUUCGGCAAUGGACGGAAGUCUGACCGAGCAACGCCGCGUGAGUGAAGAAGGUUUUCGGAUCGUAAAGCUCUGUUGUAAGAGAAGAACGAGUGUGAGAGUGGAAAGUUCACACUGUGACGGUAUCUUACCAGAAAGGGACGGCUAACUACGUGCCAGCAGCCGCGGUAAUACGUAGGUCCCGAGCGUUGUCCGGAUUUAUUGGGCGUAAAGCGAGCGCAGGCGGUUAGAUAAGUCUGAAGUUAAAGGCUGUGGCUUAACCAUAGUACGCUUUGGAAACUGUUUAACUUGAGUGCAAGAGGGGAGAGUGGAAUUCCAUGUGUAGCGGUGAAAUGCGUAGAUAUAUGGAGGAACACCGGUGGCGAAAGCGGCUCUCUGGCUUGUAACUGA